GAUGAACGCUGACAGAAUGCUUAACACAUGCAAGUCACCUGUGGCGGACGGGUGAGUAACGCGUAAAGAACUUGCCUCACGGUUAGGGCCAACAUUUGGAAACGAAUGCUAAUAACUGAUACGGUGAGAGAGCUUUGCGUCCCAUUAGCUAGUUGGAGAGGUAACGGCUCACGAAGGAGAUGAUGGGUAGCCGGCCUGAGAGGGUGUUCGGCCACAAGGGGACUGAGACACUGCCCUUAAUACGACGGGAGGAAGCAGUGGGGAAUAUUGGACAAUGGACCAAAGUCUGAUCCAGCAAUUCUGUGUGCACGAUGAAGUUUUCGGAAUGUAAAGUGCUUUCAGUUGGGAAGCGGUACCAACAGAAGAAAUGACGGCUAAAUACGUGCCAGCAGCCGCGAUAAUAG
rnacentral:rRNA from 1 species